rnacentral:rRNA from 1 species
GAGGUGCGAAAGCGUGGGGAGCAAACAGGAUUAGAUACCUUGGUAGUCCACGCUGUAAACGAUGUCUACUAGCCGUCGGGGUCCUUAGUGACUUUGGUGGCGCAGCUAACGCGAUAAGUAGACCGCCUGGGGAGUACGGCCGCAAGGUUAAAACUCAAAUGAAUUGACGGGGGCCCGCACAAGCGGUGGAGCAUGUGGUUUAAUUCGAUGCAACGCGAAGAACCUUACCAGGUCUUGACAUCCUCGGAACUUGGCAGAGAUGCCUUGGUGCCUUCGGGAGCCGAGUGACAGGUGCUGCAUGGCCGUCGUCAGCUCGUGUCGUGAGAUGUUGGGUUAAGUCCCGUAACGAGCGCAACCCUUGUCCUUAGUUGCCAGCACGUCAUGGUGGGAACUCUAGGGAGACUGCCGGUGACAAACCGGAGGAAGGUGGGGACGACGUCAGGUCAUCAUGGCCCUUACGACCUGGGCUACACACGUGCUACAAUGGCUGGUACAGAGGGUUGCGAAGUCGCGAGGCGAAGCUAAUCCCUUAAAGCCAGUCGUAGUCCGGAUCGGAGUCUGCAACUCGACUCCGUGAAGUCGGAAUCGCUAGUAAUCGCGGAUCAGAAUGCCGCGGUGAAUACGUUCCCGGGCCUUGUACACUCCGCCC